CCUGGUCCGCCACCGAAUGGGAGACAUCGUUCGUCCACGUUUCUGCAAAAUUUUCUGAUAUUCUGCCACAUAAUGAGAACAAUCUUCAUUUUUUUUUUUUUUAAUUCUUGAUAAGAAAAUAUUAGUAGGAGAAAAAACAUAGGCUUUCUGUCUGCCGUCAGCGGAGAGACGGUCGGAGAGUCUUAAGGUUUUUCUGGCCCCCAUGUCUCAAUCCUGCACACUUUAGAGGGAAAAAAUGUGAAGAAAAGAAAAGCACUGCAGAGAGAGGGUGAGAACGGCGCGGAAUAAGAAAGAGUUGUGGCGGACAAAAUGGGAGUGGUGACACCUCUUCAGAAUUGGAUUCCAGAAGAUGAUCUUUUGCUUAAAAACGCUGUCGAGGCUGGCGCUUCUUUGGAAUCUCUUGCAAAAGGGGGAACUGCAUGACCGUUGGUAUUCUCUACUCUAUGAUCCAGUUGUUUCUGCAGUGGCAUCUGCUCGCAUGAUUGAGCUGAAUGUUCUGCUUCAACUCUACAAUCAGGACCUAAUUGGCCAGACAGUACAAAAGAGACAAAGUGCAGUUUAGGGAAGCUUAAAGCUGAAAGUAUUCGUAAACGUAACUAUGCUCUGCGUAAAAGAAUUUUGGAUGAAUGACUUGAUGCAAUGGAUAUUUUAUCUCUUGCUGAACCUGGGAAUUCUAUUUUUAGUUAUGAGAAUGAACAUCCGUCUGCAGAUUGCAUUAUUGAAAAUCCAGUUUCAAAUCCUUUUGGAAUUAAUGGUGAUGCAGGACUUCAAGAUCGUGUUGAAGAUCUUCCCCUUUCUGGUAAUAAUGUGUCCUGGGGCUUUUGUCAUACUAUAUAGUGUGUGCGUGAGUGUGUGCCCAGGGGAUUUGGACAAUCUAAAGAAUUAUCCAUUUGUGACUUUUUUAAAACUGACUUUUUAGACAUAGAAAACCCUGCUGUAUUUGGUCAAACUAAUCAGAAUGGAGGAAAUGUGCAUACUGAAUUCAGAGGCACAUCAUUUCCCAGUUUUGGCUAUUUGCCUCCUCUGCCUCAAAUGCCAACUUGGAGUACCAUGCACCACAUUUCUGCCACUUCUCUGCCCGUUCAGCUUGGAGAGAGUGGCCAGCAGACAGGAAAAGCAUUUGUACCUACUGAGGCCGAUUAUGUGAAUAAUACAGAUGCAUCCAACUUAAAGAAUUCGAUUCCUAACAUGAGAAAUUUAAUUCUUAGCCCGGAGGACGUUAUGGAAUUGACAAGUACUUUGUUUGACUUUACAAAUGAGGAAGAUCAGCUGUUAUGGACGCUGAUGGAAAAGACCAAAUCGAGAAAUUUUAUAUUGAUGGUUUCAGUUCACUUUUAUUGGAUUCUCCUAACAAUAGCGAGUUGCCUAAUGUUGUCCCUCAGGCUCCCGAUGCACAUUUUACUUUUACUAGUGGUCCACAUAGUGAAGAGUCAGGGAAGGAGCUGUAUCAGAGUUCAAUUAUAGACGCAAAAACUCUCACCUGUUCGAACUGUGAAAGCUUUUGGUCCUGAAUACCGUAAUGGAGUCAUAUGCUGCACACUAAACACUGAGGACCCGGAAAUUCCUAGCAAUGAUGAUGUUUCUCUUCCCUUUUGUUUUCCCUCCCUGUCUAAUUCCUCAGGGCCUCAUUGGAGAGAUCACGAUGCUUAUUAUCUAAUACCCUUUCUAUGAAGAAUUUCUCUAGCACUCAAAAAGCAAGUGGGGGGCAGAUUCUGAGGAAGAGUGAACUAAAAGAUUCUUGUGCUCCUUCUCUGAUGAUAGGAUCGUAAAGACAAUCAGACAUGGGUGCCAAUAAUCGAAUUGGUGGUUUUGGGAUAAAAUUUGAGUUGCCUAACAGUAGUACCCAACACUUCGCACUCAAGAAUGCAAGAACUAUUGAAGGCCCAAGUCAUAUCAGUUCAGUGCAGACUUCACAAAAUAUCUUGUACCUGGAGCUGUUAAGGAAGGUGCUACAAAGAUUUUAGCGGGAAAGAAUCUUGAUUAUAAAUCGGCCGGUCAUUGUCUAGAUAAGCAUUUUUAUGGUCUAGACAGUGUUUGAAAAUUUAAGAAAAGUAUUAGUGGCAGUAAGAAGAAAUUAGAUACUAAAGCUACAGUUCCAACCAAUGGAGCAUUAAAUGCUGAAUCAAGUUUUGUAGUGCCUCCAGUCUCGCAACGAAAUGAAAAGUCACUACUGUCGGAUCAGGAAGAGCCUUGUUCUGAGAAUGAUUUGGAUGUUCCCUAUUUUUCUGAUGUAGAAGCAAUGAUCUUUGACAUGAAUUUGAGUCCAGAUGAAUUUGAUCUACAGUUGAGCCAGGAAGUUAAGCAAUACAAACGUGAUGAAACUAGGAAAUCAUUCAUAAGGCUGGAGCAGGCUGUUGAUGGUUAUAUGGUAAGAACCAUUGCAGCUCAGGGAGCAUUUGCACCUGAGGUAUGACAGCACCCCCACUCCC